rnacentral:tRNA from 1 species
GCCCGUGUAGCUCAGUGGAUCAGAGCGAAAUUCUUCUAAAAUUUAGGCCGUAGGUUCGAAUCCUACCACGGGUA